GAGUUUGAUCUUGGCUCAGGAUGAACGCUAGCGGCGGGCCUAAUACAUGCAAGUCGAGGGGUAUAUUACUUUCGGGUAAUAGAGACCGGCGGACGGGUGCGUAACGCGUAUGCAACGUUACCCACUACAAGGGGAUAGCCCGGGGAAACUCGGAUUAAUACCCUAGUGGUACUACAGGAGGGACAUCUGAAAGUAGUUAAAGAUUUAUCGGUAGUGGAUGGGCAUGCGUCUGAUUAGUUAGUUGGUGCGGUAACGGCGUACCAAGACG
rnacentral:rRNA from 1 species